UGAAAUACAUUUCUAUUCGUUUGAACUUUCAUUGAAAGAACCUCCUUUUCUUGAACCUCCUAAUUAGCUUGAACUUUCAUUGAAAGAACCUCCUUUUCUUGAACCUCCUAAUUAGCUUGAACUUUCAUUGAAAGAACCUCCUUUUCUAUUCGUUUGUUGUUUCCCAAAGUAAACUACCCAAUAUCAGAGUCAUCUCAGAUAAUUUUAGCAUUUCAUAUUUGUGCAUUUUGUUUACUGUCCUUUGUAUUGAGCCGGG
rnacentral:lncRNA from 1 species